AUAUAUAUAUAUCUUUAAACAGUGAGCUAAGUAUAUUUAUGUUUUUAAUAGGGAAAUUUACCGCAUUUUUUAAUGUGUAUUAUGUAUUAAAUUUAUGAAAUUAUCUUUUUUUUAUUCUAUAUGUAUAAUGUCUACAUUUGUUGUAAGAUGAAAGUUAAAUAUUUUCAUCUAAUUUAUUAUUGUUAAUGUACAAACCAUACGAUGUGAAUGAAUUUUCUAUUUUAAAGGCAGAAUUGCAAGUUAAUAAGCAGCAACUCUGUAAUCGGAUUAUUUUGAUGAUAAUUAUUUCACUUUAGCAGAGAACCAUACAAGAGGGACAACGUUUCAGAAAAAAAGAUAGUCGCUGAAGUGAAAAUGCAUAAGUUGAGACUUUGAAGAUG